UCCAGUUCUCGUUAGAUCACCGAAGUCAAGCAUCAUUGGGCGCGGUCAGUACUUGGGUGGGGGACCACCUGGGAACACCGCGUGCCGUUG